rnacentral:rRNA from 1 species
CCCCGAUGACCCGUCUUGUAACACGGACCAAGGAGUCUGGCAGGUCUGCGAGUCAGUGUGCGGCGAGCCACACAGGCGUAAGAAACCUGACCGGGGGUCCGGCACGCGGUACAUGCUGAACUGAGGCACGUACCGCGUACCGGACCUUGACCGGUCGCCCUAUGCGCGAAGCUCCAUACCGCUGAGGCAUCCUGGUAUAUACGUACACCAGGCUCGCUGCGGAAGUGCGCAGUCAUGCGUUCACAGGGGCUUCCGCGCCUGGCGAUCCGGUAGAGCAGGCCUUCCAGGACCCGAAAGGUGGUGAUCUAGGCCUGGGCAGGGUGAAGCCUGGCUAACGCUUGGUGGAGGCCCGAAGGAGUGCUGACGUGCAAAUCGCUUCUCUGACCUGGGCCUAGUGGCGAAAGACCAAUCGAACCACCUAGUAGCUGGUUCCCUCCGAAGUUUCUCACAGGAUAGCUGAGACUCGAUCGGGUAUGUCGAGUAAAGCGACUGAUUACGGGUGACGGGCGUAGAUAGGCGUUCGGCUCGUUCUCAAACUCUGAAUCGGCAUGGCGCCUCCUUGCUUGGAUGAAGGGGUAAGCGCGACCGAGAGUCUCAAGUGGGCCAGUUUUGGUAAGCAGAGCUGGCGAUGCGGGAUGAACCGAGUGUCGAGUUAAAGUGUCCAACUACACGCUCAUCUAGAUCCCAGGAAGGGUGUCAGCUGAUACUGACAGCGGGGCGGUGGUCAUAGAAGUCGAAACCCGCUAAGGAGUGUGUUACAACUCACCUGCCGAACCAGUAGGCCCCGAAAAUGGAUGACGCUCAAGCGUGUGACUUAGACUCGACCGUGAGCGCGAACGUUGCUCUCACGGGUAGGAGGGCGUGGAUGUUGCUUCGAAGCCGUGGCGUAAGCCUUGGUGGAGCGGCGUCUAGUGCAGAUCUUGGUGGGAGUAGCGAAUAUUCAAAUGAGAACUUUGAAGACUGAAGUGGAGAAGGGUUCCGCGGGAACAGCGUUUGGCCGCGGGUGAGUCGAUCCUAAGGAUUAGGGUAGCGCCGUAGCAUCCUCAUCGAAAGGGAAAAGGGUUAAUAUUCCCUUACCUUAGAGGGAUCCGAGGGCGGCAACGCAAGCGAGCUCGCAGACGCUCACCUUGAUCCCGGGAGGAGGUCUCCACUCCUCUUGAUGCUUGUGGGGCCCCGGAGCAGGGUCAACCGGAGAAGGGGCUUCGCGAGCGGCACAGCUUCGAUCGAAUCAUGAGGUCCGGUGCAUCAGGGUGGGCCCGUGAAAAUGCGAGGGAGCAACAGGGAUACACCUCUCAAGGUCGUACUCAUAACCGCAUCAGGUCUCCAAGGUGAGCAGCCUCUAGUCGAUAGAGAAAGGUAGGUAAGGGAAUUCGGCAAAUUAGAUCUGUAACUUCGGGAUAAGGAUUGGCUUCGAUCGUUACCCUCCUGGGUAUCGCUGCGGAAGUGCGCAGUGAAGUUUCGCGUGGCGGAGACCCGACGGCCUACACGAGAUACAAGACCUCUAUACAUCCUAUUGCGGGUGCAACUUCCCGAUCCAAGGGUGUAUGUCCAUAACAUAAUGGGCGGGUCUUUGUGUGACGGGUGUCGUGUCAGGGGUCACCGAGGAACGAUACUGAUACCUGGGGGUGGUUGACUUAAUUGAAACUGGCGCGGACCAAGGGAAUCCGACUGUCUACUAAAAACACAGCAUUGCGAUGGUCCCCGCGGAUGUUGACGCAAUGUGAAUCCUGCCCAGUGCUCAGACUGUCAAGACGGAGAGAUUCGACGAAGCACGGGUAAACGGCGGGAGUAACUAUGACUCUCUUAAGG